rnacentral:sRNA from 1 species
AUGCUAGUGUUCUCUGUUCUGUAUU